CUAGUCUAAGUGGACCAGGUUUGGGGCCCCUGUGUCACAUGGCUGGUCUCUAAGCCCCUGAAAUGUUAGUUAUGGCCUUCCUAUACAAAAGCAUUACCUAUUUGAUCAAAUGUAAAGGGUCCCUGUAUACUGACCUUUUGAUCUAGAACCUUAAAACUCAGGGGCUUUUAAGGUUUGGGGCCCCUGUGUCACACGGCUGGUCUCUAAGCCCCUGAAAUGUUAGUUAUGGCCUUCCUUAUACAAAAGCAUUACCCAUUUGAUCAAAUGUAAAGGGUCCCUGUAUACUGACCUUUUGACCUAACA